CCUACGGGCGGCAGCAGUGAGGAAUAUUGGUCAAUGGGCGGAAGCCUGAACCAGCCAAGUAGCGUGCGGGAUGAAGGCCCUACGGGUUGUAAACCGCUUUUGUACGGGGAUAACACCCUCUACUUGUGGCGGUCUGCAGGUACCGUACGAAUAAGGGCCGGCUAAUUCCGUGCCAGCAGCCGCGGUAAUACGGAAGGUCCGAGCGUUAUCCGGAUUUAUUGGGUUUAAAGGGAGCGUAGGCCGGGGGUCAAGGUAGCUGGUAAAUGCCGGGGCUCAACCCGGGCCCCGCAGUGGAAACUGGACGCCUUGAGUUCACGGCAGGCAGGCGGAAUUCGUGGUGUAGCGGUGAAAUGCAUAGAUAUCACGAAGAACCCCGAUUGCGAAGGCAGCCUGCCGAAGUGCAACUGACGCUGAGGCUCGAAAGUGCGGGUAUCAAACAGGAUUAGAUACCCGGGUAGUC
rnacentral:rRNA from 1 species